rnacentral:rRNA from 1 species
GUUGAACGCUGGCGGCAUGCUUUACACAUGCAAGUCGAACGGCAGCGCGGGCUUCUUCCUUGCGGCGAGUGGCGAACGGGUGAGUAAUACAUCGGAACGUGCCCAGUAUUGGGGGAUAGCUCGACGAAAGCCGGAUUAAUACCGCAUACGACCUGAUGUUGAAAGGGGGGGAUCUUCGGACCUCGCGCGAUUUGAGGUGCCGCUGGGAGUUUAGCUAGUUGGUGGGGUAAAGGCGUACAAAGGCGACGAUCUGUAGCUGGUCUGAGAGGACGACCAGCAACACUGGGACUGAGACAGGGCCCAGACUCCAAGGGGAGGCAGAAGUGGGGAAUUUUCGAAAAUGGGGGAAAGCCUGCUCAAGAAAUGCCGGGGGUGUGAGGAAGGCCUCCGGGUUGUAAAGCACUUUUGGAGGGAAGAAAAAGGACUGUACCAAUAACGCGGUUCGAGGACGGUACCAGUAGAAUAAGCACCGGCUAACUACGU